GAAACGACUGCUAAGACUGGAUAGGAACAAGAAGGCAUCUUCUUGUUUUUAAAAGACCUAGUAAUAGGUAUGCUUAGGGAGGAGCUUGCGUCACAUUAGUUAGUUGGUGGGGUAAAGGCCUACCAAGACUAUGAUGUGUAGCCGGGCUGAGAGGUUGAACGGCCACAUUGGGACUGAGACACGGCCCAAACUCCUACGGGAGGCAGCAGUAGGGAAUUUUCGGCAAUGGAGGAAACUCUGACCGAGCAACGCCGCGUGAACGAUGAAGUAUUUCGGUACGUAAAGUUCUUUUAUUAGGGAAGAAUAAAUGAUGGAAAAAUCAUUCUGACGGUACCUAAUGAAUAAGCCCCGGCUAACUAUGUGCCAGCAGCCGCGGUAAUACAUAGGGGGCGAGCGUUAUCCGGAAUUAUUGGGCGUAAAGGGUGCGUAGGCGGUUUAAUAAGUCUCUAGUUUAAUUUCAACGCUUAACGUUGUCCUGCUAGAGAAACUGUUUAACUAGAGUGAGAUAGAGGUAAGCGGAAUUCCAUGUGUAGCGGUAAAAUGUGUAAAUAUAUGGAGGAACACCAGAGGCGUAGGCGGCUUACUGGGUCUUUACUGACGCUGAUGCACGAAAGCGUGGGGAGCAAACAGGAUUAGAUACCCUGGUAGUCCACGCCGUAAACUAUGAGUACUAAGUGUCGGGGUUAAACUCGGUACUGAAGUUAACACAUUAAGUACUCCGCCUGAGUAGUACGUACGCAGGUAUGAAACUUAAAGGAAUUGACGGGACCCCGCACAAGCGGUGGAUCAUGUUGUUUAAUUCGAAGAUACACGAAAAACCUUACCAGGUCUUGACAUACUCUGCAAAGCUAUAGAAAUAUAGUGGAGGUUAUCAGGGAUACAGGUGGUGCAUGGUUGUCGUCAGCUCGUGUCGUGAGAUGUUAGGUUAAGUUCUAAAACGAGCGCAACCCCUGUCGUUAAUUGCCAGCACGUUAUGGUGGGGACUUUAGCGAGACUGCCAAUGAAAAAUUGGAGGAAGGUGGGGAUUACGUCAAAUCAUCAUGCCCCUUAUGAUCUGGGCUACAAACGUGAUACAAUGGCUAUUACAAAGAGUAGCUGAAACGCGAGUUUUUGGCAAAUCUCAAAAAAAUAGUCUCAGUUCGGAUUGAAGUCUGCAACUCGACUUCAUGAAGUUGGAAUCGCUAGUAAUCGCGAAUCAGCAUGUCGCGGUGAAUACGUUGACGGGGUUUGUACACACCGCCCGUCA
rnacentral:rRNA from 2 species